rnacentral:rRNA from 1 species
CCUACGGGAGGCAGCAGUGAGGAAUAUUGGUCAAUGGACGAGAGUCUGAACCAGCCAAGUAGCGUGAAGGAUGACUGCCCUAUGGGUUGUAAACUUCUUUUAUAUGGGAAUAAAACGUUCCACGUGUGGGAUUUUGUAUGUACCAUAUGAAUAAGGAUCGGCUAACUCCGUGCCAGCAGCCGCGGUACUACGGAGGAUCCGAGCGUUAUCCGGAUUUAUUGGGUUUAAAGGGAGCGUAGGUGGAUUGUUAAGUCAGUUGUGAAAGUUUGCGGCUCAACCGUAAAAUUGCAGUUGAAACUGGCAGUCUUGAGUACAGUAGAGGUGGGCGGAAUUCGUGGUGUAGCGGUGAAAUGCUUAGAUAUCACGAAGAACUCCGAUUGCGAAGGCAGUUCACUGGACUGCAACUGACACUGAGGCUCGAAAGUGUGGGUAUCAAACAGGAUUAGAUACCCCGGUAGUC